UUUUGGCAUUUGGAAUUUCAUAAUUUUGAAGAUUUCAUUUCAUUUUUUUUACAUUUUUUCCAUUUUUUCAUGCGGUUCUGUUCAUAAAUUCCUCAUUUAAUUUAAGGGAUUUUUUAUUCUAGAUCAGAAAUAGAAGCAACACGUUGCUCAAUUCAAACAAUUCAAAAUCUCAAAAUAAGGCGGGUUCACAUCGACUACCCAUUUUCCAGCAAAAAAAAUGACAAUGAGUGGAAAUAUUCAGCAAUGUACAUCUACGAAUUGAAGAGUCAUUCACUGCCAUUCAAUGCCUAAUUCAGAAGAUUUUAUUAAACAAAACUACUAAAUGCUACCCUUUUUUUAAGGUUUUCAAGAAAAAAUUAUUAUUUUGCACGGAAUUUUGCAUUUCACAGUUUUUUUUAAUCUCAAUUUAGCUCAAUCUCAAAAAUAUGAUAUGACGUUUAUUUCUUGCUUAUGUUAGACAUAGAUUGUGAUUGGUUCAUGUUUUUGGUAGGUUUACAAGAAAUUAUGGCUUUUAAAUCAUAUAAAGAAUCCGUAUUUGCAAUGCUUUACUUAAAAUGAUAUGUAUUAAUGUGGAAAAAAGCUGAAAAAAAGGAACAACAAACAAAAGGAGAAAAAUCUCGAAAAUUGUAAUCAAUUCAUGGUUUUGGUAGUGGUUGUGUUGUCCAAACCCUUUCAAACUACUUCAAAUAAAAGGCGCCGUUCUUCGGAAAGAUGCGAUUAUUGUUCAUCAAUUCUUGCAUUUGGGCUUCAUUGACGCGAAUCGUGUAGAAAAUCGCUUCUUUCGAUGAGCCAAAGUCAACGGUGGGCUUGAUAUUUUGAGCAAAAGUCGUUGGCGGCUUGAAGUUCUGUCCAAAAUCAAUGGGAUCUUUGUUUGGUUCCAUUUUGACGGCUGCCGAUGCUUUAUCAUGAUCAUCAUUGUUGUUGGCCAAUGGUUGACCAGGCAUCACUUGUUUGCGGAACGGAUUGGGAGUCUUCAAACCACCGACUGAUGUAUGUUUUCCUAAGGCGUCCAAUAACAUCACGUCGACCAUUGUACCGAUGGCAUCCACUUGAUCGAUCGGUUCGGUAUGCUUACGCUUCAUGUGUGCAUCCAAGUCAGCGGCUGGCAUUUUGUUACGGCAAACACCACAUUGAACAUGCACUUUGCCUUCGUCUUUCGGUGGUUCGAUGCCCGAUGCACUCCUGACUGAUGUUGGUUUGCUGUCUAUCGCUUUAGCAUUGGCCUUGGAUGACAUUUCUGAUGCAACAUCCGAUAAUGGUGUGUAAAUAUCGUCAACAAUAUCCGAAUGUACCUUUGCAUGGUGCUUUUUUAAUCGGCUCUCCAAUAUCUUUGACCGACAAAUUUCGCAAUGAAACAGUUUUUCAACCAUUUUCCACCACUUGAGAUUUUGAGUUGAACACAAAGUUAUUCGUGUGAAAAUACAAUUUUCAGCCUUUUUCCGUGAACUGUGUGCGGCUUUAUUCGUGCAAAUGUUUAUCUGUCAACUUGCGAGAGAGGAAUGUAAUACGAGAAAAAAAAGGGCUGUCAAAUUCAUUAACCGAGAUGGAGCUCGUAUGCAAAUUUUUUCAGUUUGACAGUUCGCAUAUUCGUUAGUUUUGUGCAACCACUUUUAAGAGCAAAUUUUCAGCAUGGAAUAUUCCAUUGGUUUUCUUUGUCAUAAACAAAGCCACUUUGACACUUCAUCGACAAUGUGCACACUGUCGCCGGUCGUAAUGUAAACAUUUCGCUGUGAAUGAGAAGAAAAAAUUGGCCACUCAGCAAGAAUGGGAAACAAAAGGAAAGAUCAAAUGGAAAGAGCAGAGGCAGCAAGAAAUUAAAUAUUCGGAAACUGUGCGAAUCGACUCCAAAUUCCAAUCAGAGGCUAGCGAUCGUUUUUCAUUGGAACAUCUAAUUUGGAAUCGGACAUCAAUCGUAUGUCUCGGAAAAAUCAAAUAUGAAUUUGCUAUCGUCGAUACAAACCUUGUUUACUGUGAUCACUGUCACAAUUUCAUGUUUGAAAAUGAGUGAUACACAAAAGUAUGUUCCACCAUCGGACAUGAACAUGGGCCCCAAGUCGAAUGCACAUCAGAAGCGGAAUUUGUUUGUGGACGCAUUGGCGCUGUUAUUUGGAAUGAGCUCAUGGCUUGGUGUAACGUCUUCAUACCUCCAAUUGCCAUUGAUAAUAUCGACGAUGCCUGAGGGCUGGUCGAUGCCUGCCUACAUGACUGUGGUCGUGCAAAGCUCCAACAUCAUUUCCUUUGCUUAUGUUUUCUACCAAAAAUACGCACCAAAAAAACUGAACGAUGCUUAUUUAAUUUACUUCACCAUGUCCAUGGGCUGCUUAACGGCAAUUGGAAUGGCGUUUUUCUACCAAAAUACAAUCACCAUCAACGGCAAAGAGCAUAGUAUUGCUUACCUAAUAUUUGUGUUUCUGUUUGCGACCGUGGGAACGGUGAGCUCCGUUCUAUUUUUGCCGUUCAUGGGUCGUUUCCGCGAGUGUUACCUUGUAUCUUACAUGUGUGGCCAGGGUAUGAAUGGCCUAUUCACCAGUAUUUUAACAUUAAUCCAGGGGAUUGGCGUGCCUGAAUGCAUACCAGACACCGAUGGAAAACUCAUUAAAUACAUUCCACCGGCCCGUUUUGGGACACAAACAUUCUUCCUGUUGGUAUUCGGAUUAUUGUUGAUCAGCACUAUCGCCUUCAUUUUGCUAAACAAAAUGGAAGUGUGCAAAAAAGAAUUGGCCGCCGGCAUUGUAAUGGAAGGCAAUGAAUAUUAUUACGAAAACGAAGACAGACAUGAUGUUGCAACUGGUGAAGUCCCAGAAAAUGUACUGAAUUUGUCCACUUUCAACUACGUCAAGUUACUCUCAGCCAUGGUUCUGAUUGGAUUUUUUGGCAAUGGCAUUUUCCCUGGGCUACAAUCUUAUUCAUCACUUCCGUAUGGAUUUUUGAUUUAUCAUCUCGUUGCGUCACUCGCUUCCAUUGGAAAUGCCAUCGGCAGCUUCAUCGCUCAAUUUGUUCCACAUACUUCGAUUCGCAUUCUGGACUUUCUCAUCGUCAUUGUCAUCGUACUCGGUGUUUACAUUUUCUAUGCUGCUGUUAAAAACCCAUUUCCACCAUUUCUUCACACGGAAUUUGGACCCGUUUUUAUGAUUAUCCAGUGGAUGUUCUUUAUCGGUAUUCAAAGCUAUAUGAAAACGUCGAUUGCUACCAUUUUCCGCUAUCAAGAAGGCAAAUCUCUGGUUCUCAUGGCAUCCACCAGUCUCGUUUGCUCUGUCGUCGGAUCCAUUUUUAACCUUUUCAUCGUUACCUACACGCAAUUGUUCGUCUCGUAUGAACCAUGCUAAGCUAAAAUUCUCAACAAUCGAAUAGGUGUGGUUUUGCUUGGGGCAAAAAUCUAUUUUUUUAUUUUCGAAGUAGAAAAAAAAAUUAUGAAUUCAUAAGUAAUGUUCCUAUAAUAUCCUAGUAAGGUAUUAAAAAUGUUGAAACAUAAAAUUGUAAGAGCCUCAUGUAAUGAUAGCACGAAUUCGUGUGAAACUUAUUCACACCAUUUCAAUUUUACUUUUCCAAUGGUUAAGGCAAUUUAGCACUCCAAAAAAUGUCAAUUUAGCUCAUUUUUAAUUUUCUUCAAAUUGAACUAAAUCAUAUCAUGUCAUUAUACAUAGAGUAAUUUAGUUUUAGAAGAAUAGUAUUCAAAAUGCGUUAUGUCAAGAAUUUUCUUUUUCGACUGAUCCGAGCCGAUCAAUGAAAUUUGUCAACGAUUGAGAUGAGCAAAAUCCGUAUUGUUCUAUAGAUUUAUAAAUUUGUUAUUAAAUUAAUAGGGAUUUUUUGCUAUUAACCAUUUUAUUAAAUUCAUAACAGAUUUGAUGAAAAAUAUUAUUUAGAAAAAAAAUCGGAAAAAGUGUCAUAUAAAAAGCAUGUCAGUUAUUUCAAGACGCAGUUUUCUUUGAGAUUUUGUCGUCUGGCAAAAACUUACACGACUUUUAUAUCAAACUUGUUUUCUCAAUUUUUUUCAAAUAAUAUUUUCCAUCAAAUCCGUUAUCAAUUCAAUAAUACCAACCAACAAAAAAAAUAUAUCGAAAUUUAAUAUUAUUGAAUGAGUAUUUGGGUUCCAUCUCUAGUCAAUGACGGCAUAAAACGUAUUUGUGCUUCUUAUUGGGUACGUUUUAUUCAUGAUCAUGUUGCAAUAUGAUGAUCGAAAAAAAAAAACAAAUUUCAUUCAGAGAUAUUUUUUCAAAAAACAUUAAUUUCCAAUCAUUCAGUCGCAAUGAACAUUUUUGUAGAAUUAAACACAUCAAUUGUCAAUUCAGGUUAUUCUUGACCUAUUUCAUUGAGAGAGGUAAUUCAAAGUGUCUACACGUAAUAAAUUAUUGUAUCAUCGUAACAGAUUCCAUAAAAAAAUAAAACACUGUUAUCAACUGAUUUCACACAGAUAAGAUAAAGCGUUGGUCUAGGUCUUAGUACUGAUCAACGUUAUGUUCUGAAUGAUGUAAUUGAAGUGAUAAGUCUUUUUGUAAUAAGAAUUAAGAAUAGUACCAAGUUAAAAUGUGUAUAAAAAAAAGACAGGUCCUACCAAAAAAAAUAGACCAAGUUAGAAAAUACAGGAAAAGGUGAAUUAUGUUGAAUAUAGCGAUAAUUAUUUGUUUCAAUUUGAUUUACACUGUGCUAUCCUGAUAAUGUUUAUUGUAAUAAUUGUCAAUGUCCAGACAAUCUGUGGCUCAAAACUACAUCUUUCCUUAUUAGGAAUUAUAUUCAUAAUUUUUUCCAUUAAUUCCUGAAUAUUUUUUUAAUAUUUCGAUGUGCUACCCAAAUCAUACCAUGUGUCGACAAAAAUUCAUGGACAAAAAUGUGCUGGUCCAAAAUAAAAUUAGAAGUAUUUUAAUGUUAAUAGAA